UGCAUGUGUGCGUACAGGAUUGAGAGCCGAAGUCAUGCCCUUCUACUUCCGGUCCAUGGGACCUAUCUUUCGAAAAAAUAUGAACGGGAGUGAACGGGGAGAGGCAAAUUAUUUUUUGAUCCCGUUUGAAACGA